GGAGGGAUCAUUAGAAUUUCUUUCUUUCCAAACAAAAGAAAGCGUGGUUUUACCAUGUCAACUUUUUUACAAUUUUACCUAAACUUUACAUUCGCAUCUCUCAACAAGAUAACAAUGACUUACAAUCAAAACAAACAAACAAAACAACAAAACACGACUCGCAACAACGGAUAUCUUGGUUCUCGCAACGAUGAAGAACGCAGCGAAAUGCGAUACGUAAUGCGAAUUGCAGAAUCCAGUGAAUCAUCAAAUGUUUGAACGCACAUGGCGCCCCUCCGCGUAGGAGAGGCACGUCUUCAUGAGCGGCGUUUUAACCAUUUCCCACUUUGCUGUGGGAGAAAUGCGGGUGCUCUUGCGCAAGCGAGAGCCUCCGUGAAAUCCAGAGGGCUCUUUUCUACUCGAAUCAACUUUUCUGCUUCGUCACAACGAACGGGGUGAUUCGGAUGCAACAGCCGAUUCCAACGGAUACUGCCUGUCAAAGGCUUUCUGCUGGUUUCCUGGUCUUUGUUGUGCCGAUCUUCCGCUCGACGAGCAACCAAUCCGAAUCUCUUUUUUUUAAGAGAAGAAAAAUCCCACCGACACCCAUUCUCUACGCGUUCUGGCUUCAAAACCCAAAACGCAGAGCAAACCUUACUAAAGCCCUCAUGUGAAACGAGAGAACCCGCUGAACUUAAGCAUAUUAUUAAGCGGAGGAAAGGAAACUAACAAGGAUUCCCUCAGUAACGGCGAGUGAAGCGGGAAGAGCUCAAGUCGAAAAUCCUUGCUCCAAGCGGGGCAAGGAGUUGUGGCCUCGAGACCCUUUGUCAUGGCGCAGGCAACUGCAUCUCCAGAGAUAAGUCCCUUGGAACAGGGCAUCAGAGAGGGUGAGAAUCCCGUUCAUUCUCUGGAGGGAGACCGGUACGACAAGGGUUCCCAGAGUCGCGUUGCUUGGGAGUGCAGCGCAAAGAGGGUCGUACACGUGAUCCAAAGCUAAAUACUGGCGAGAGACCGAUAGUGAACAAGUACCGUGAGGGAAAGAUGAAAAGCACUUGGAAACGAGAGUGAAAAAGAGCUUGAAAUUGUUGCGAGGUAAGCACUGGUGAAGGUUUAUUUGCGACGUUUGCGCUUUGGAGGGAGUUUCGAGCCGAUGGCGAAUGGGUCGAGUCCUGUCAAGGGGCCGGCCGGUUGCUUCGAGCGCGGAGUUCUAGAGAACGCGCAGGCGGAGCCGUCUGCAUUGUUUUGGUACCUCAGGUCUGAGUAGGUACGGGCGCAGGUAGCGAGGCGACGACGACAAGUCGAGCCGCUCUCGAAGUCUAUAGCACCCGUAUUCGACAGACCGACCGGAACAAUUUGAGAAGGGCGUGGAGAGAAAGGUGAGGGAUUGGGGUGCGUGGCGUGCGGAGGUCUGGAUGUUCAAUGAUCAGCCAGGCGCCGUCAUGUCGCUCCCGCUUCGACCCUAGGCCAAUUCCUCCAUCGCCAACAUUCCCCCGCGGACGCAAGUGUUUCUUGUCGGCUCGUCCGACAAGGAAACAAGCCCACCAAUGACCCGUCUUGAAACACGGACCAAGGAGUCCAACGUGUGUGCGAGUAUUUGCCUGGUUCAAGGGCGGAUGCGCAGUGAAAGCAAAGGACAACCCUCGCGGAUGUCUGAGGUGUGAAGCUUGUUCGCCCACAAGGCGGGCAGGACGCAACAUCGGCCGGCCCCGGUGUUUUUGGGGACUGAGCACGAGCACCCAUGUUGGGACCCGAAAGAUGGUGAUCUAUGCCUGAGCAGGGCGAAGCCAGGGGAAACUCUGGUGGAGGCUCGCAGCGAUACUGACGUGCAAAUCGUUCGUCGGAUUUGGGUAUAGGGGCGAAAGACUAAUCGAACCAUCUAGUAGCUGGUUCCCUC
rnacentral:misc_RNA from 1 species